UCGCUUUUCAGAGGUCUACCCUGUGUUCAAACAUGGAGAAGACACUUAGAAUGUUAAAGUCAGCAUGGACCUGCCUCUUGGGCUUCACUGAAGCUGUCCCCCUGGCACUUGCCAAAAAGCUUGGUUCAUUCUGACUUGUUGGGAGUGGCGCGAGUGAAAUCCUUGGGAAAGACAGCCUCUGUGCAAUCCCCUGCUCUUCAAGAACAGAAACAAGGUCACCAGCCGAUAAACCAGAGGCAAACGGACACAAUUACCAGACUGCUGGACCCCGAUUACCGGGCGGCCUGGCGCCAGCUGUGACUGUUUUGAAAUAAUGCAAAGGAAAGGAAGAAUGCAAGACCUUUACUACUUUGACCCUUAUCUCAUACCCCGGACUGCGAGCCCCACAUAUAAAAUCUUCCCUGAUUCCCAAGCGGGGUGUGGGGGGGGGCACAGUUCUUGAGGCACUAGCCUGCUGUGUCUUCCCUUCUGCCAGGCAGAAAAAUAAAGCCAUCUCUCUCU